UGUUUUAGUUCUUCGUAUUUUCUUUAGUCCACGAUUAUAUUUCAGGCGUCUAAGUUGUGCAACCUUCUUCUAAAAGCUGUAUGGAAUGCUCCUGCAUUAGGUGGCUCAUCAUGCAUUAUAUGUAAGAGUAUCUUUAGGCUUUGAACUUAAUUAGUUUUUUUUUUGUAAUGCAGCUUUGUGUUUUACAAUUUUGUAGAUCCAUAUUGUUUACAAUAAAAUCGUGGGAUGCUUACGAGAAGAGGAUUAGAUUAGUGACCUAUAAGUAUCCAUCAUGGGUACCAUUAAGUUUUUAUGUUUAAAGUUUUAUUCAUGAUAGACAUAGCCUAUUUUGUUUUAUUUACGGCGAGAGAGAUGCACUUAUUAUGCCUAAGAAUUCUGGAAUUCUUCCAAUGGUCCUAGUAGCCAUUAUUCUUGUUGGCCAGCAAGGUAUUUAAUUUUUGCUCCCCCACAUAUUUGGUAUUUUCUUGUGCUUUAUAAGGUAAUUUCUAGUCUUGACUAUAGAUAUUUGUUGCCAGAGAUACAACAACAAAUUCCAAGGAUUCACAAGAUGGCCUCAUCUGGUCCAAGAUAUCAAGAGAUGAAUACAUGAGAUAUGCAUUCGAGGAGUGUUAUAUCAUAGUAUUAAAGUUAUUUUGAUGUUGGUACUUGGACAUCUGUUAACUUUUUUUUAGGUGGAGAGAAUCUACAAGGGUACAUAUUAGUAAAAAGAAACAUACAAGCUUCAGGUUAACCAAGUUACAGUUCGUGACGCCCAGAAUUUUUUGCUUUAACUGGUAUUCUCAUAUUCUCUCUCCAUGCAAUUUGCACUUUACUUAUCCAAUAUUAUUUUAUUUACCUUUUUUUUCUUCUAUCAAAUGUUCAUCUACAAAAAAAGUUGUGUUGGGUUCCAUCAAAUUUUGGACGUUCUACUUUCUUGCCAUCUUAAUGUUAGCUAACCACUACUUAUUACAAAGCUUGAGCUGUGUAAAAAGAGACAAAUUUCUAGUGGUGACAACAUCCAAAAUGGAGACAACAUCCAAAAUGGAGAAGUAGUGACAAAGUACAAAUGGUAGCAACAUUCCAAGAUAGUUGUACAAGCAUCAAAUCUAGAGGAGGGCACUUUGAUAGCUCAUUCAUAAGGUUGUUUACUGCUAGCAUGCUUAGUGGGGAGAAACCUACCCAAACAUUGCCCCCUACUACGAAAAGUGCUACUGCAAAGCCAUGUAUGAAAACAACAGAUGGGGUGGGACAAUUCAAGGAUUUUGUUGAGAUUGGAAGAUAUUGAGAGAAAAUUGAAGGAAGAUUGGGAUCAUGUGUAAAGGUGGAACUGUCUCUCAAAUAAAGAGCAGUGUUUCGAAGGAACUGCUAGCAGCUGUUACAAGAUGCUUUGUUGAUGUUCAAGCUCUACAAAAUCAUGACAUCCCAAGGUUUCCGGUGAAGGCAUUUCAUGGAUGGUAUCUGUAGUUGAAGACUUUCGAAUUGCACAUAUAAAGCUAAAGGUGCUAUUGGAAUCUUUUUACCGCUUGUAAUUCUCACAAAAUCCUCUCUUCAAAGUAAGUGUUGGUUAUAGAAUUUAAUUAAUUUUUGCAAAGAGUUUGGGCUGUAAUCUACAAUCAGGAAAGCGUACUGUUAGACUUAUUGGAGUCUUACAUAAAUUUGUAGG